AUUGAACGCUGGCGGAAUGCUUUACACAUGCCAGUCGAACGGCAGCACGGGGGCAGCCCUGGUGGCGAGUGGCGAACGGGUGAGUAAUACAUCGGAACGUGCCCGGUCGUGGGGGAUAACGUAGCGAAAGUUACGCUAAUACCGCAUACGAUCUGAGGAUGAAAGCGGGGGACCUUCGGGCCUCGCGCGAUCGGAGCGGCCGAUGUCAGAUUAGGUAGUUGGUGGGGUAAAGGCCUACCAAGCCGACGAUCUGUAGCUGGUCUGAGAGGACGACCAGCCACACUGGGACUGAGACACGGCCCAGACUCCUACGGGAGGCAGCAGUGGGGAAUUUUGGACAAUGGGCGCAAGCCUGAUCCAGCCAUUCCGCGUGCAGGACGAAGGCCUUCGGGUUGUAAACUGCUUUUGUACGGAACGAAAAGGCUCUGGCUAAUACCUGGGGCUCAUGACGGUACCGUAGGAAUAAGCACCGGCUAACUACGUG
rnacentral:rRNA from 1 species